UACGGAGGGGACUAGCGUUGUUCGGAAUUACUGGGCGUAAAGCGCACGUAGGCGGCUUUCUAAGUCGGGCGUGAAAGCCCCGGGCUCAACCCGGGAAAUGCGCUCGAAACUUGAAGACUGGAGGCCGGAAGAGGGUAGUGGAAUUCCCAGUGUAGAGGUGAAAUUCGUAGAUAUUGGGAAGAACACCAGUGGCGAAGGCGGCUACCUGGUCCGGAUCUGACGCUGAGGCGCGAAAAGCGUGGGGAGCAAACAGGG
rnacentral:rRNA from 1 species